UUUUAUUACAUAGGAUUAUAUGGGUAGGGAGGAGUGGAAACACCAAGGGCUGGCCUGAGAUUGGGCUCGGGGUCUCACUGCACCAGGAUCUGGACCUACGGACUAUCUGGCAACUUCGUGGCGCCUCUUGGUCCCCCGGAGGGAGCGGGCCAACUCCCUUUCACAGCAGUUUCACAUGUUUAACCCAUGGGGGUGUUCCAACCCUCAGCAACCAAGCUUCACCGCUGCCGCGACACUCAGGGGGCCCGACUUUCUCUCUCUCCUUAGUUAGAAACUGGUUUCGGAUCUGCAUCAGCACCGCGGGGCCGGAAAAAAAGCAAAAGUGCUGCAGCAGGUGUGGAAGCAGCAAUCCCCUAGUGGGUCUGCCAUCCUCCAGACGCUGGGGGUUCUUGGCAACCAGGCUCUCUGCCCGCCCCUCUGGGCCCGAAAGCCUCCAGGCUGCAGGUCAGCUUCGCUUAGAGACGGAAACAAAGCCGUCUUGGGGUCUGCUGGGGAAAUCGAGGCGGGACUGGCGAUUCUGGGUGAGGAGUCUGAGGCUGGCUGCAGCCCUCCUCCCGGGCACCGAGGGAGCCCCCGCCAAAAGCCCAGACUGAGGGGCGCGACAAACCCAAAAGAAACGGCUGGGGUCCCCGCGGCUCCGGGCGGGAGGCUGGAGAGAGCGAGGCGCCGCCCCGCAGCCGCGAACUCGGGGAGUGGCGCCGGUGGGUGGGGUCCUGGCGGGGGCGGGACCGACCUGGGCUACCGGCUGUGCCAGUCUCGCCCGCAGAGCAGAGCGAAAGUAGUUGGUGGUGGCCCUCGCGUGUGGCUCCAGCUCUGCUUGCCCGGACCUCACGGCCAUGGCGGGACCCCAGGAGUUUCUGAGCGGGAAGCUCCGGCUCUGCUUCGCCCCCGCGGCCCGGACCAGCCUCCUGCUGCUCAGGCUCAACGACGCGGCGCUGCGGGCGCUGCACGAGUGCCAGCGGCAACAGGUCCGGCCGGUGAUCGCUUUCCAAGGCAGCCGCGGGUAUCUGAGGCUGCCAGGCCCUGGCUGCUCCCGCCUCUUCUCCUUCGUAGUGUCCCAGUGUGGCCAGGAGGGCUCUGGAAGUGGCUUGGACCUUGUGUGCCAACCCUUAAGCAGACCUGGGCCUCACCGCCUCCACUGCCUGGGGCCACUCAGGGAGCGCCUCAGUAUUUGGGCAGCCAUGGAUUCUAUCCCAGUCCCAUCUUCAGGUCAGGGACACAACCUGACUGAUGAUUCCAGAGAGCCUGAGAAUUGGCAGAACAUGGGAGAUUAUUCCAGAGAUGGAGUUUCCCAGCCACAGAUGGCACUAGAGGAGGUGCCAGACCCACCAGCAAGCAGCCAAAGACAGUCACUCCCAGGAUCCUCGAGGGAACACUUGGCACAGUGGGAAGGAAGGAACCAGCCCUGUCUUCCAAACACAGAGCCUGACCAGGCACUGCCUUCUGCUAGCCAGAAACAUCUGAACAAGAAGCGUCCGGCACCUGCAGCCACUAUAAAAGUGAAAGAAAAGAGGCUCAGAACGCUAAACCUACAAGAGGGAGAAGAUUGGGAGCAAGAAAAUAAACAUGAAGACCUGGGCCCCAGACUGGGGCACAGUCCCUCAGUUCAAGCAGGCUCUGAAUCCCCGAGCCCUGAAGAGGUACCAGAUUACCUCCUGCAAUAUGGGGCCAUCCAGACUGCAGAGCAGCAACAUGCUUAUGAGCAGGACUUUGAGAGAGAUUAUGCUGAAUACCGCAUCCUGCAUGCUCGAUUUGGGGCUGCAAGCCAAAGGUUCCUAGAGCUGGGAGCAGAGAUCAAGAAAGUUCAGCAAGGAACUCCAGAACACAAGGUAAGGACUGGCCUUGGGAUGGCUUCCCAGCUCUACUGGCCAUAAACCCUUUUUUUUCAGUGACCAAAGUGAUAAGCAAGCCCGUUUUAAGAGAAAAAUUAUUCUGUAUCAUUUGGUAGCAUGCGAGUAAGUUACUUCCUUCCCUUAAGAGAACUUGUUUUUUCCUCAAGAUUAAACUUGAUGCUAGCAUUUUCUUUGUUUCAGGUGCUGGAAGAAAAGAUAGUCCAGGAAUAUAAAAAGUUCCGAAAGCGGUACCCAGAUUACAGGGAAGAGAAGUGUCGCUGUGAGUACCUGCAUCAGAAAUUGUCCCACAUCAAAGGACUCAUCCUGGAGUUUGAGGAAAAGAACAGGGGC